CAACCCUCAAGCCCCAGCGGCUUGGUGUUGGGGACCGGCACCCGCCUGCGCGGCCCUUCUGGGCCCGCCGGCCGCCGCCCCCGAAAUGAAUUGGCGGUCUCGUCGCAGCCUCCUCUGCGUAGUAGCACAAACCUCGCAUCGGGAGCGCGACGCGGCCACUGCCGUAAAACGCCCAACUUUUUUAG
rnacentral:misc_RNA from 1 species